GAUGAACGCUAGCGGCAGGCCUAACACAUGCAAGUCGAGGGGCAGCACAUAAAGUGGUUUACUACUGUUGGUGGCGACCGGCGGACGGGUGCGUACCGCGUAUGCUACCUGCCUCCAACAGGGGGAUAACGGAGAGAAAUUGCCACUAAUACCCCAUAAUAUCAGAAUCGGCAUCGGUUUUGGUUGAAAACGCCGGUGGUGGGAGUUGGGCAUGCGUUGUAUUAGAUAGUUGGUGAGGUAACGGCUCACCAAGUCAACGAUACAUAGGGGGACUGAGAGGUUAGCCCCCCACAAUGGUACUGAGACACGGACCAGACUCCUACGGGAGGCAGCAGUGAGGAAUAUUGGUCAAUGGGGGCAACCCUGAACCAGCCAUGCCGCGUGCAGGAAGACGGCUCUAUGAGUUGUAAACUGCUUUUACAAGGGGAUAAAUCGGUGUACGUGUACACCGUUGAAGGUACCUUGGGAAUAAGGAUCGGCUAACUCCGUGCCAGCCGCCGCCGUAA
rnacentral:rRNA from 1 species